rnacentral:rRNA from 1 species
CCCUUAGAUGUUCUGGGCCGCACGCGCGCUACACUGAUGCAUACAACGAGUCUAAAACCUGCUCUGAUAGGGGUGGGUAAUCUUUUGAAUGUGCAUCGUGAUUGGGAUAGAUGAUUGCAAUUUUUCAUCUUCAACGAGGAAUGCCUAGUAAACGCAAGUCAUCAGCUUGCAUUGAUUACGUCCCUGCCCUUUGUACACACCGCCCGUCGCUCCUACCGAUUGAAUGAUCCGAUGAAUAUCAUGGAUUGAGGAUGCAAGCAGGUUCGCCUGUCUUCAUCUUCGAGAAGUGAAGUAAAUCUUAUCAUUUAGAGGAAGGAGAAGUCGUAACA